CUGACAGCACUGGAAACUGAAGUUCUCCAUUUUUCUACAGAAAAGGUACAAUAUAGUCAGUGCAAUAUAGACAGUCCAACCCUGUCCUUCCAGUGUGCCUCAUAUAUAAACAGUUGAAGGAGCUUGCUCUAAGAGUAAUAAGAUAAUUCAAUCUCCAUGCCCAUUCAAUCCUUCCUCUGUG
ensembl:misc_RNA